GGACAUUUGUCUUUUGGGCCGUCGCUGGGUGUGGGGUGCUACUGACAUCUCAUAGGUAGAGGCCAGGGGUACUGCUAAACAUUCCAUGGCACACAAGAAGGUCCCCCCACGACAAAGAAUGACCAGCCCCAAGUGUCAAUAGGGUUGAGGCUGGGAAGCUCUGUUGUGUGCGGAAUAAAACCUCCCACAUAGAAGGUUUCCCAUUGAUCCCAUGCUCUCUCUGAGGGGCCUCCAGCUGCUCCUGCCCCCGAUGGGUGAUGUCACAGCCACCGCCUUGAUGGCCUCCAUGGAGACCAAGAAUCUGGAGUUAGGCAGUGUUUCCCUCCCUUUUUGCUCUGUGCCUGAGAAGGCAGCGCUCACUUGGAAAAAAAACAAAGCAAAGGAACCCAUAGGGAAAAGAUGAAGUCCGUCUGAAUUUACUUUGUGACUUACUGUAAGGGCGUGAAUAACUUCAAAGAAUGUAUGCAGAAAGACUAAGAGAAUUAGAAAAAUCCUCUUUGUGCAUCCACUGAUGAAAUCCUGGCUCUAGACAAUAAUCAGCAACGACAGGAAACUUCCUAACAGAUAGACCAGGCUGCCCCUGCCUGAAUGCAGUGAUCCAUCUGCCUGCCUGAACGCAGUGAUCCAUCUGCCUGCCUGAACGCAGUGAUCCAUCUGAGCAUCUCAAAGAGAAGAAAGCCAGUUGUUCUGUACCUCUCAAUGUGACACAAUACAAAGCACACAGCAGUACCCAGGAAUGCUUCUUGCCCAGAGAACUGACCCUGAGCCUAAUCAAGGCUCCAGAUCUAACCACCAGUUUACAGAAAAUACCAGGAACAGGUUACAUGAUUCAAUAAGCCCAAUCCAUAAUGCGGGCAUUCUACAGAAUAAAUGACCUAGUUUCUUCAAUAAAUAAAGGACGUGGCCAGGCAUGGUGGCUCAUGCCUGUUAUCCCAAGGCAGGAAAAUCUCUUGAGCUCAGGAGUUC
rnacentral:lncRNA from 1 species